rnacentral:rRNA from 1 species
GAUGAACGCUGGCGGCGUGCCUAAUACAUGCAAGUCGAGCGAACAGAUGAGGAGCUUGCUCCUCUGACGUUAGCGGCGGACGGGUGAGUAACACGUGGAUAACCUACCUAUAAGACUGGGAUAACUUCGGGAAACCGGAGCUAAUACCGGAUAAUAUAUUGAACCGCAUGGUUCAAUAGUGAAAGACGGUUUUGCUGUCACUUAUAGAUGGAUCCGCGCCGCAUUAGCUAGUUGGUAAGGUAACGGCUUACCAAGGCGACGAUGCGUAGCCGACGUGAGAGGGUGAUCGGCCACACUGGAACUGAGACACGGUCCAGACUCCUACGGGAGGCAGCAGUAGGGAAUCUUCCGCAAUGGGCGAAAGCCUGACGGAGCAACGCCGCGUGAGUGAUGAAGGUCUUCGGAUCGUAAAACUCUGUUAUUAGGGAAGAACAAAUGUGUAAGUAACUAUGCACGUCUUGACGGUACCUAAUCAGAAAGCCACGGCUAACUACGUG